rnacentral:misc_RNA from 1 species
UCAAACUUGGUCAUUUAGAGGAAGUAAAAGUCGUAACAAGGUUUCCGUAGGUGAACCUGCGGAAGGAUCAUUAUUGAAUAACUUGGUGUUGAUGCUGGCCUUCGGGCAUGUGCUCGCAUCAUAUUAUUUAUCUAUCUCUUGUGCACCUUUUGUAGUCUCGCGGAGUGGGUCUGGUCGAAGCCAAGGUUUCGGUCCAAUUCAAAGGACUCCGCUUUUCGCGAGGCUAUGUUUUCAUAUACUCUUUAUAAAGUUUAGAAUGUUCAAUUUAUUGACUGCGAAGUCAGUAAACUCUAUACAACUUUCAGCAACGGAUCUCUUGGUUCUCCCAUCGAUGAAGAACGCAGC